GACGAACGCUGGCGGCGUGCUUAACACAUGCAAGUCGAACGGAAAGGCCCUGCUUUUGUGGGGUGCUCGAGUGGCGAGCGGGUGAGUAACACGUGAGUAACCUGCCCUUGACUUUGGGAUAACUUCAGGAAACUGGGGCUAAUACCGGAUAGGAGCUCCUGCUGCAUGGUGGGGGUUGGAAAGUUUCGGCGGUUGGGGUUGGACUCGCGGCUUAUCAGCUUGUUGGUGGGGUAGUGGCUUACCAAGGCUUUGACGGGUAGCCGGCCUGAGAGGGUGACCGGCCACAUUGGGACUGAGAUACGGCCCAGACUCCUACGGGAGGCAGCAGUGGGGAAUAUUGCACAAUGGGCGGAAGCCUGAUGCAGCAACGCCGCGUGCGGGAUGACGGCCUUCGGGUUGUAAACCGCUUUCGCCUGUGACGAAGCGUGAGUGACGGUAAUGGGUAAAGAAGCACCGGCUAACUACGUG
rnacentral:rRNA from 1 species